rnacentral:rRNA from 1 species
GAUGAACGCUGGCGGCGUGCCUAAUACAUGCAAGUCGAGCGAACAGACGAGGAGCUUGCUCCUCUGACGUUAGCGGCGGACGGGUGAGUAACACGUGGAUAACCUACCUAUAAGACUGGGAUAACUUCGGGAAACCGGAGCUAAUACCGGAUAAUAUAUUGAACCGCAUGGUUCAAUAGUGAAAGACGGUUUUGCUGUCACUUAUAGAUGGAUCCGCGCCGCAUUAGCUAGUUGGUAAGGUAACGGCUUACCAAGGCAACGAUGCGUAGCCGACCUGAGAGGGUGGUCGGCCCCACUGGAACUGAGACACGGUCCAGACUCCUACGGGAGGCAGCAGUAGGGAAUCUUCCGCAAUGGGCGAAAGCUUGACGGAGCAACGCCGCGUGAGUGAUGAAGGUCUUCGGAUCGUAAAACUCUGUUAUUAGGGAAGAACAAAUGUGUAAGUAACUAUGCACGUCUUGACGGUACCUAAUCAGAAAGCCACGGCUAACUACGUG